rnacentral:rRNA from 1 species
UACGUAGGUCCCGAGCGUUGUCCGGAUUUAUUGGGCGUAAAGCGAGCGCAGGCGGUUAGAUAAGUCUGAAGUUAAAGGCUGUGGCUUAACCAUAGUACGCUUUGGAAACUGUUUAACUUGAGUGCAAGAGGGGAGAGUGGAAUUCCAUGUGUAGCGGUGAAAUGCGUAGAUAUAUGGAGGAACACCGGUGGCGAAAGCGGCACUCUGGCUUGUAACUGACGCUGAGGCUCGAAAGCGU